GACGAACGCUGGCGGCGUGCUUAACACAUGCAAGUCGAACGGAAAGGCCCUGCUUUUGUGGGGUGCUCGAGUGGCGAACGGGUGAGUAACACGUGAGUAACCUGCCCUUGACUUUGGGAUAACUUCAGGAAACUGGGGCGAAUACCGGAUAGGAGCUCCUGCUGCAUGGGGGGGGUUGGAAAGUUUCGGCGGUGGGGGAUGGACUCGCGGCUUAUCAGCUUGUUGGUGGGGUAGUGGCUUACCAAGGCUUUGACGGGUAGCCGGCCUGAGAGGGUGACCGGCCACAUUGGGACUGAGGUACGGCCCAGACUCCUACGGGAGGCAGCAGUGGGGAAUAUUGCACAAUGGGCGGAAGCCUGAUGCAGCAACGCCGCGUGCGGGAUGACGGCCUUCGGGUUGUAAACCGCUUUCGCCUGUGACGAAGCGUGAGUGACGGUAAUGGGUAAAGAAGCACCGGCUAACUACGUG
rnacentral:rRNA from 1 species